GUGGGUAACGGCCUACCAAGGUGAUGAUACGUAGCCGAACUGAGAGGUUGAUCGGCCACAUUGGGACUGAGACACGGCCCAAACUCCUACGGGAGGCAGCAGUAGGGAAUCUUCCACAAUGGACGCAAGUCUGAUGGAGCAACGCCGCGUGAGUGAAGAAGGUCUUCGGAUCGUAAAACUCUGUUGUUAGAGAAGAACACGAGUGAGAGUAACUGUUCAUUCGAUGACGGUAUCUAACCAGCAAGUCACGGCUAACUAC
rnacentral:rRNA from 1 species